UACGUAGGGUGCAAGCGUUAAUCGGAAUUACUGGGCGUAAAGCGUGCGCAGGCGGUUGUGCAAGACAGAUGUGAAAUCCCCGGGCUCAACCUGGGAAUUGCAUUUGUGACUGUACGGCUAGAGUGUGUCAGAGGGGGGUAGAAUUCCACGUGUAGCAGUGAAAUGCGCAGAUAUCGGGAGGAACACCGGUGGCGAAGGCAGCCCCCUGGGCCAAUACUGACGCUCAUGCACGAAAGCGUGGGGAGCAAACAGG
rnacentral:rRNA from 1 species